AUCCAGCUGACGAGUCCCGAGUGGGACAAAACGCUCGUUCUGGAU
rnacentral:hammerhead_ribozyme from 1 species